UGUGUAGUGUGGUGUAGUGUAGUGUAGUGUAGUGUAGUGUGGUGUGUUGUGGUGUAGUGUGUGCUAGAUUUGGUCUGCCCAAUGUGGACUCAAUCCCUCUGAUCUGAACAAAGAGAGAACACAAAUGUCCAUCCCCUCGCCAGUUUUUUGCUCUCCUCCCUCUCUCUCUGUUUUCAUGUCGUUGUUGUUGUUGUUGUUUUUGGGGGGUGCCCAGUUGUGCUGCUACUGUUCCCUAUCAUCCUGCUCCAUGUCUCUCUCUCUCUCUCUCUCUCUCUCUCAUCCUGC
ensembl:lncRNA